ACUCAAGGGAAGCUCCGAAUAAACAUCCACUCUUUGAGUGUGAGCCUGACGUAAACUAAAGUCUGGUUUUCAUAUGGUUGUAACGGUCGUAAAGAUUGAGUCACGAUCUUUCUCAUCAGCCGAAAUACAACAUUUUAGUCAGAACUGAAAAUACGCGGAGUGAUUAUAACUAGAGAAUAACUUAUGAUUUAUAUGUGAUUUACAGGUCUAAACUAUUAUAAACUGGCCGUUGAGAAAGAUCGUGACUGUAUUUUUACGACCAUAUGGAAACCAGGC